ensembl:misc_RNA Y_RNA Y RNA
GGCUGGUCCAAGUGCAGUGGUGUUUACAGCUAAUUGAUCACAACCAGUUACAGAUUUGUUUGUUGCAUCUCUACUCUACUGCCUCACUUGACUAAGCUGAA